GUGACCUCCCGGGAAGUCCUCGUG
rnacentral:siRNA from 1 species